GGACUACAGGGGUAUCUAAUCCUGUUUGCUCCCCUUGCUCUCGCGCCUCAGCGUCAGGUAUUAACUAGAAAACCGCUUUCGCCACAGGUGUUCUUCCACAUAUCUACGCAUUUCACCGCUACACGUGGAAUUCCAUUUUCUCCGUCAACCCUCUAGAAACACAGUUUCAAAUGCAGCUCCGAAGUUGAGCUUCGGAAUUUCACAUCUGACUUAUAUCUCCGCCUACGCGCCCUUUACGCCCAAUAAUUCCGAUUAAUGCUUGCACUCUCCGUAUUACCGCGGCUGCUGGCAC
rnacentral:rRNA from 1 species